GGCGGUCGCCGCCACUAGUCCCAUCCUUGAUGAGGAUCCAUUGUAAAUGUAUAUGAUCUUAGCCUUUGAGUUAAAUUAUGUCGUAGUAUCUCAUUAAUUUAGAAUGUAGUUCAAAUAGAAGUUCCAGUUCUUGGUUAAGCACGAUGAACAAUGAAGAAAAGUGGCUGCAACCCUUCUUUUGUUUGCAAAAAAGAUGAUUUGAACUCAAAGUGAUGUUUAUUGGCUCAAGUUUCUUCAGCAGUUGUUGGGUAUCACUAGCUUGCAGCAAUCAUCCCAACGAGCAGAAGAUGCCUUGUCCCAGGGAAUGGAGGCAUUGCAACAAUCGAGUUGGCCGAGACUUUGGCUGGAUCUCUUGGCCCUUCGGGUUCAUCAGGGAAUGUUGCAAACUACAUGGGACAAAUGGCGAUGGCGAUGGGAAAGCUAGGAACUCUCGAGGGCUUCAUUCGCCAGGCUGACAAUCUAAGACAACAAACACUGCAACAACUGCACCGGAUAUUGACGACCUGCCAAUCGGCUCGUGCUUUGCUUGCUAUAAAUGAUUAUUUCUCUCGGCUUCGAGCUCUUAGCUCUCUAUGGCUUGCUCGUCCACGGGAGUAACGAAGCAUAUGAUACGACACCGAUUCGCAUUUCGAAGGUGAGUCUGGCUGUGUUCUCGGUAGUGCCAUGUAUGAUUCAGAGUUCAAAUUAUAGGCAGUGUUAGUAGCCAUGUGUAGCUGUUGUAAUGAUCUUGUUUCUGUUGUAAUGGUACAGAGUUUUACCUCUAUGGAAUUGUAUGAUCCUUCUGGUGCUGGGUUUGUAUCAUUUUCACUCGAUAGUCACUUUUUCAACAUAGGGUUAUGUAAUCUAAAUCUUUUUCUGAUCAGCCAAAAAGAAGGGGGAAAAAGAUCUUAUUCUGACCAACCGAUUUUAUGGUUUGAA